rnacentral:sRNA from 1 species
GACAAAGCAGUUCCAAUUCCAGAGAAAAUGAGUGAAUGGGCACCUCGACCUCCCCCAGAAUUUGUCCGAGAUGUCAUGGGUUCAAGUGCUGGGGCCGGCAGUGGAGAGUUCCACGUGUACAGACAUCUGCGCCGGAGAGAAUACCAGCGACAGGACUACAUGGAUGCCAUGGCUGAGAAGCAAAAAUUGGAUGCAGAGUUUCAGAAAAGACUGGAAAAGAAUAAAAUUGCUGCAGAGGAGCAGACCGCAAAGCGCCGGAAGAAGCGCCAGAAGUUAAAAGAGAAGAAAUUACUGGCAAAGAAGAUGAAACUUGAACAGAAGAAACAAGAAGGACCCGGUCAGCCCAAGGAGCAGGGGUCCAGCAGCUCUGCGGAGGCAUCUGGAACAGAAGAGGAGGAGGAAGUGCCCAGUUUCACCAUGGGGCGAUGACAAUGUUUGCCACAGCCUCUGCCUGGAACCUGGCUCGUGCUAUGACCAGAAGGGAAAGGCAGCUGUUUGGCUCUUUCUCCCCCGCAAGGACCCGCUGACCCGCUGGAUGGAGAGCCAAGGAGACCCCUCCCAAGCCGCUCGCAGUCCUGCAUUUGGCAGGGUUGGGAGCCUGAGGGGCCAUCUCCCUGACACUCAGAGGCACUGCCUUGCAGACGCCAUCAGUGUUCCUGGUAAAAGGGGACAGAGAGCCUCACCUUGCCACAUAUUUGAACAGUGAUGAGUUUGGGGCUGGUUUCUGGGAAGGGAACGUUUAUUUAGUAAAGAGCAGAACACCC